AUAGAGAAUCCUACCUGCCCGGUGAUUUAUACAACUUAACGGCUGCGGUAUCCUAACCGUGCGAAGGUAGCAUAAUAAUUCGCCUUUUAAUUGGUGGCUGGAAUGAAUGGUUUCACAAGAAUAUAACUGUCUCUAUAAAAUUAUCUAGAACUUUAUUUUUAAGUGAAGAAGCUUAAAUAAUAUAAAAAGACAAGAAGACCCUAUCGAGCUUUAAUAAACAUUAAAAUCUCUCAUCGAGAUGUUUAACUAUAAUUUUUGUUGGGGGGACUGAGAAACAAAAAAAACUCUUUUAAUUUAAAUUAACUACUUUGUAUUGAUCCACUAUAAGUGAUUAGUAAAAUUAGUUACCGUAGGGAUAACAGCAUGAUUUUGUUUAAGAGAUCAAAUUGAAAACAAAGUUUAUGACCUCGAUGUUGGAUCAAAAUAUCCUAAAGGUGCAGAAGCUUUUAAGGGUUGGUCUGUUCGACCAUUAAAAUUUUA
rnacentral:rRNA from 1 species